rnacentral:tRNA from 1 species
GGUCCUGUAGUUUAAGUUAAAACAAUAAAUUGCAAAUUUAGUGAUAAAAGUAUUUUCAGGAUUU